rnacentral:snoRNA from 1 species
GCAAUGAGUAGUAUGCAAGAGCAAAAUGAGACCUUGAACCAUUUCCCAGCCUCGCUGCGGGCUGUGAGCACUGAAGGAGGUGGCACAGAU